GACGAACGCUGGCGGCGUGCUUAACACAUGCAAGUCGAACGCUGAAGACCUGGCUUUUGUUGGGUUGGAUGAGUGGCGAACGGGUGAGUAACACGUGAGUAACCUGCCCUCUUCUUUGGGAUAACGCCCGGAAACGGGUGCUAAUACUGGAUAUUCACUGGCCUUCGCAUGGGGGUUGGUGGAAAGGUUUGUUCUGGUGGGGGAUGGGCUCGCGGCCUAUCAGCUUGUUGGUGGGGUGAUGGCCUACCAAGGCUUUGACGGGUAGCCGGCCUGAGAGGGUGACCGGUCACAUUGGGACUGAGAUGCGGCCCAGACUCCUACGGGAGGCAGCAGUGGGGAAUAUUGCACAAUGGGCGAAAGCCUGAUGCAGCGACGCCGCGUGAGGGAUGGAGGCCUUCGGGUUGUAAACCUCUUUCGCUCAUGGUCAAGCCGCAACUGUGGGUUGUGGUGAGGGUAGUGGGUAAAGAAGCGCCGGCUAACUACGUG
rnacentral:rRNA from 1 species